GACGAACGCUGGCGGCGUGCUUAACACAUGCAAGUCGAACGGAAAGGCCCUGCUUGCAGGGUACUCGAGUGGCGAACGGGUGAGUAACACGUGGGUGAUCUGCCCUGCACUUCGGGAUAAGCUUGGGAAACUGGGUCUAAUACCGGAUAGGAGCCAUCUUUAGUGUGGUGGUUGGAAAGUUUUUUCGGUGUAGGAUGAGCUCGCGGCCUAUCAGCUUGUUGGUGGGGUAAUGGCCUACCAAGGCGGCGACGGGUAGCCGGCCUGAGAGGGUGGACGGCCACAUUGGGACUGAGAUACGGCCCAGACUCCUACGGGAGGCAGCAGUGGGGAAUAUUGCACAAUGGGCGCAAGCCUGAUGCAGCGACGCCGCGUGGGGGAUGAAGGCCUUCGGGUUGUAAACUCCUUUCGCUAGGGACGAAGCUUUUUGUGACGGUACCUAGAGAAGAAGCACCGGCUAACUACGUG
rnacentral:rRNA from 1 species